AAUGAACGCUGGCGGCGCGCCUAAUACAUGCAAGUCGAGCGAGAAGACGUAGCAAUACGUUUGUAAAGCGGCGAACGGGUGAGGAAUACAUGGGUAACCUACCCUCGAGUGGGGAAUAACUAGCCGAAAGGUUAGCUAAUACCGCGUACGCUCCUUGGACUUCGGUUCAGGGAGGAAAGCGAUACCGUGGGUAUCGCGCUCUUGGAUGGGCUCAUGUCCUAUCAGCUUGUUGGUGAGGUAACGGCUCACCAAGGCUUCGACGGGUAGCUGGUCUGAGAGGACGAUCAGCCACACUGGCACUGCGACACGGGCCAGACUCCUACGGGAGGCAGCAGUAAGGAAUAUUGCGCAAUGGGCGAAAGCCUGACGCAGCGACGCCGCGUGGGGGAUGAAGGUCUUCGGAUUGUAAACCCCUUUCGGGAGGGAAGAUGGAAUGGGGUAACCCAUUUGGACGGUACCUCCAGAAGCAGCCACGGCUAACUUCGUGCCAGCAGCCGCGGUAAUACGAAGGUGGCAAGCGUUAUUCGGAUUUACUGGGCGUACAGGGAGCGUAGGCGGUUCGGUAAGCCCUUUGUGAAAUCUUCAGGCUUAACCUGGAAAAGUCGGAGGGGACUGCCGGGCUAGAGGACGGGAGAGGAGCGCGGAAUUCCCGGU
rnacentral:rRNA from 1 species